AAAGCUUUAAGUUAAAUUAAACUAUUAACCUUCAAAGUUAAAUUUAUAUUAUAUAAUAUAAGCUUUA
rnacentral:tRNA from 3 species